CUCUCUCUACCUCUCUCUCUCUACCUCUCUCUCUCUCUCUACCUCUUCAUCCUCCUCUCCCUUCACCCCUCUCUCCCGGUCCCAUUCCUCUCUCCCUAUUCUGACCUAAUCACAGAUCAUUAGUUGCCAUGACAUUGUGAUUGUUUUUAUAUUAAAUGACUGCUAUCAUAGUUAUAUCAGAUUGUUAUCAGCUGGAUGGUGAAGCCACUAUUUUAUGGACCACAUAUUGAUUGCGACCCAAAUGCCACCCUGUUUUCUAUAUAGUGUACUUGUUUGUCACAUGUUCUCUCACCAGAAGAGUGGUUAGGUCCCAAAUGAGACCCUAUUCCUUAUAUAGUGCACUACUGUUGACCAGAGCCCUAUUCCCUAUAUAGUGCACUUCUUUAGACCAGAGCCCUAUUCCCUAUAUAGUGCACUACUGUUGACCAGAGCCCUAUUCUCUAUAUAUAGUACACUACUUUUGACCAGAGCCCUAUUCCCUAUAUAGUACACUGCUUUAGACCAGAGCCCUAUUCUCUAUAUAUAGUACACUACUUUUGACCAGAGCCCUAUUCCCUAUAUAGUACACUACUUUAGACCAGAGCCCUAUUCCCUAUAUAGUACACUGCUUUAGACCAGAGCCCUAUUCUCUAUAUAUAGUACACUACUGUUGACUAGGGCCCUAUUCCCUAUAUAGUACACUACUGUUGACCAGAGCCCUAUGGGGAAUAGGGGGCCAAUUGGGACGCAGUCUGUAUGUGAAACUGGUCAGUUUUUAAAUGUAUGUUUCUGGGGUUCUUAUUGGUAGUCUGAUUCUCUGAUCAUGUCUGUGGUUGUUAUGGUUACCGUCUGGUCCAGUUCAUACAGACUGUUUUGGUUGUUGUUUCUUUGUUCUGUCCGCUGUUUAUCUCUCUCUCGUUUUGUGGUUUAACUGUCUGUGGUCAGGUUCUGACCAAUCAGAUGGCUCUGUGGUCAGGUUCUGACCAAUCAGAUGGCUCUGUGGUCAGGUUCUGACCAAUCAGAUGGCUCUGUGGUCAGGUUCUGGCCAAUCAGAUGCCUCUGUGGUCAGGUUCUGACCAAUCAGAUGGCUCUGUGGUCAGGUUCUGGCCAAUCAGAUGGCUCUGUGGUCAGGUUCUGGCCAAUCAGAUGGCUCUGUGGUCAGGUUCUGGCCAAUCAGAUGGCUCUGUGGUCAGGUUCUGGCCAAUCAGAUGGCUCUGUGGUCAGGUUCUGGCCAAUCAGAUGCCUCUGUGGUGGUGUUGUGACUACUGCUGUCUCAGUACUCCUGGAGGACCCCUGGUGUUUCUGAUAGAUUAACUUCCGUCCAGCCCGGGAUUCAAUCAAAGGCGCAUUGUGGAUUAUUAGCACACCAAAUUAGACUGUUCAAUCUAAUGUAGACUUCAGCUGACAUCCGCAGCGUUUACCAUGAAUACCAUCUCCACGAAGGUCAGAGAAAUGACCUGCUUAAAGGUGCAUUGUGGACAGUGCGCCUUUGGUUGAAUCCCAGCCACGGUCUCAUUCAGACCUGGGACACCAAAUCAUGUAUCAAAUACAUGUCCCAAAAUGGCACCCUAUUCCCUACAUAGUGCACUCCUUUUGACCAGAAUAGCACCCUAUUCCCGAUAUAGUGCACUACAUUUGACCAGAGCCCUAAAAGUAGUCACAGUAUAGGAAAUAGGGAGCAAUUUUGGACAUCAUCAGUGCUUCAAUCCCAAAUGGCUCACUAUGUAGUCUACUACCUUUGACCAGAGGCCAUAGGGGAAUAGGAGGCCAUAGGGGAAUAGGAGGCCAUAGGGGAAUAGGAGGCCAUAGGGGAAUAGGAGGCCAUAGGGGAAUAGGAGGCCAUAGGGGAAUAGGAGGCCAUAGGGGAAUAGGAGGCCAUUCAGUGUCUGUCAGCCCUCCAGGUCUAGUUUGACCUUACAUCUCCCUGGUUAAAUGGAACUGGAUUCGUCACUCACUGCUUCUCAAUGUUUUAUGGAGUGUAUGUAUAUUAUUAUAUGAUCACAUUUUAAAACAACUGAUGUGUUGACCUCUAAGUACCCUGUGAACUGUUUGUGUUGAGAAAAAAAUUAAAAUAAAUAGAUUUAUGUAAAAUUUGAUGUUUUGUUGUGUGUUUUUUUUUAACAGACCAAAGUUGACACAGUGUUGUUUUAAAUCAUUUAUAUCAUCUGAAUAGAAAAUGUGAUAACUCUCCAGAAAAACUACUUUCACAGACACCUAGACGGUUGAGAAUAAAGUUGUCUGAACACAGAACAUGUUAACGGUAAACUCUGCAGGUCAACAUUUUGACACAUCUGAACAAACAACCAGUAGAAGCACAUCACACACCUUGUCUACGUCCCAAAUAGCAUCCUAUUCCCUAUAUCGUGCC
rnacentral:lncRNA from 1 species